rnacentral:rRNA from 1 species
GAUGAACGCUGGCGGCGUGCCUAAUACAUGCAAGUAAAACGCUGAAGCUUGGUGCUUGCACCGAGCGGAGGAGUUGCGAACGGGUGAGUAACGCGUAGGUAACCUGCCUCUUAGCGGGGGAUAACUACUGGAAACGAUAGCUAAUACCGCAUAAAAGUCGACAUUGCAUGAUGUUGACUUGAAAGGUGCAACUGCAUCACUAAGAGAUGGACCUGCGUUGUAUUAGCUAGUUGGUGAGGUAACGGCUCACCAAGGCGACGAUACAUAGCCGACCUGAGAGGGUGAUCGGCCACACUGGGACUGAGACACGGCCCAGACUCCUACGGGAGGCAGCAGUAGGGAAUCUUCGGCAAUGGACGGAAGUCUGACCGAGCAACGCAGCGUGAGUGAAGUAGGUUUUCGGAUCGUAAAGCUCUGUUGUAAGAGAAGAACGAGUGUGAGAGUGGAAAGUUCACACUGUGACGGUAACUUACCAGAAAGGGACGGCUAACUACGUGC